UCGUCUUGUUGGUUGUCGCGUUCGUGUGCGCGCACUGAGAAAAGCGGAACGCCAGCGUUGCACUAACCGUUGCAGUUUCUAUAUUCCUCGAGUCGCCCGAUUUCAGAGCUGUUCGUCCCGCUCGUGAAGUGCGUGUGUUUUAACCAAAACAACUACCAACCCAAUCGCGUACAAGAUAACAAACCAAUACAACCGAGAACCUCGAAGGGAAAACCCUUGCUAAGAAGGGCAUUUUGCAUUUUGUUUACCUCGAUGGCUGUGUGGAGUGCAAUUUGACGAUUAUAUAAUAUAAAACAAAAUACGAAAAAAUAGGGAAAACAAAUAAAAGUGCGCGGCAUUCGAUUUUAAUUGCAAUCAACUACAAUAACCACUGAAGACGAAGAAUCUUUUGCAGUAAUAUGUUGCCUUUAAAUCAAUUGGGAAACCAACAACCAAAGUUAACGCAACGUUUCUAAAACUUAAAGUCUAAACACCAAAUAAUAGUUACAAAAUACACAAUAAUAUUAAAACCAAACCAAAAGUGGCCUGCAAAACGAAGCAACCAAAACAACCAAGAAAUGUGAUUCAAAGUGUGCAAUGUAACCAAAUUAUAAUUAAAAAGCUACAUAAAACGAUAACCAAAGCAGGAGAAAAGCCGUGGAAAAUCAGCGGGAAAACCAAAUCCAGACCAAAUGGAAAUCAAGGAAUCCGGCAGCCAAUCGAACAGCCAACUAGCAGCCAUUGUGGCCAAUGAUUAAGGGAACACUUUGUUAGCCAACUCGUAGUAGCAGCAUCCCCCGUCCACACAUAACACCCAGUUAGUUACACAGCCACUCAGCCGCACAGAACCACUCGACCUCCCCUCGCAUCUCGCAUCUCGAUGCCCGCAAAGAAGGCGUUGGAGCAACAAUUAUAGAAUAGACAGCCAGGCAACCAGACAACCAGACAACCACAUCAGCUCAGUUUAGCUCAGCUCAGCUCAGCCCCAACUGCAAUCCAACUCCAAUCACCAAUUCAAACUCCAACUCCAACUCAAUCUCAAUCCCGAGCCAAAGCCCCCAACAUGGACAUCAAGAUUGAGCAGCAGCAGCAGCAACAGCAAGUGGAGCUGGGACCCUGUUCCCCCUCGGAGGUGCCCAAUGAUCCUGGAAAAAUGUUCAUUGGCGGCCUCAGUUGGCAGACAAGUCCAGAGAGCUUACGCGAUUACUUCGGACGUUAUGGUGAUAUCUCAGAGGCUAUGGUCAUGAAGGAUCCCACGACGCGCAGAUCCAGAGGCUUCGGCUUUGUCACAUUCAGCGAUCCAAAUAGCGUAGAUAAGGUACUCACCCAAGGCACACACGAGCUGGAUGGCAAAAAGGUCGAUCCGAAAGUAGCUUUUCCGCGCCGUGCACAUCCCAAGAUGGUGACGAGAACGAAGAAAAUCUUUGUGGGCGGCCUCUCGGCGCCCACCACACUGGAGGAUGUCAAAAGUUACUUCGAACAGUUUGGUCCGAUCGAGGAUGCAAUGUUGAUGUUCGAUAAGCAGACCAAUCGGCACAGAGGUUUUGGCUUCGUUACAUUUCAAAGCGAAGAUGUGGUAGACAAAGUUUGCGAAAUUCAUUUCCACGAGAUAAACAACAAAAUGGUCGAGUGCAAGAAGGCGCAGCCGAAGGAGGUGAUGCUGCCGGCCAAUCUGGCCAAGACGCGGGCUGCCGGGCGUUCCGCAUACGAUAACAUCAUGUGGGGACUGGGGACAUUGCCCGAAGGUUUUCCGGCAGCUGCCUACGCUGCCUAUGCCGCUGGUCGCGGAUACUCGGGCUAUCCCAGUUUUGGACUGCCCUAUCCAACUGUUGAUCUAACCAAUGGGCAGCUGACACCCAACAACAAUACACCGCUGCUGACCCAGGCGCUGUCAGUGAUGAACAACUAUCAGGCGGCUGCUGCGGCUGCCCACAGCUAUGGACCGUCGGCAUCGCCGCAUGCCGCCGCCGCCAACACGGCCACCCGGCAGGGAUUCCCCUCCACCAACUCACCCGGCCCCACCAUCGACAUGUACAGCUCGGCGGCCGCCGACAAUGUGGGCUACGUGCAGGCCACCAGUCCGCAGCCGUCCGGCUUCCCCAUCGCCGUCAGCCGCGCCCCGUUGAACUACAGCCCGAUUUAUUCGUUGAACUUUGCGAUGGCUAAUAUAUAAAAGACUGAUAACCCAAAAAUAUAAAUGCAAGAGAACAAAACAAAACAAAAGAUAUGCAAAAAGUAAAAGAAACCCAUUAUAUAUAUUUAAAUCGAAAAAAUAUAUGAAAAAUACAAAUAAAAUAAAGCUAAACGAAAGCAAACAAAAGAAAUAAGAGUAUAAAACAAACGCAGUUGCACAAGGGACCACUAAUUCCUGCGGCAUUUACAAAUGGAUACCAUUAAAAGGUGGCGCCGACAACCGCAAUGACAACAGCAACAGCAACAACAACAACAGCAGCAACAGCAGCAGCAACAACAGCAACAGGAGCAACAAAUGCAACAGCAACUUUAGCAACAAAUGACAGACACACACACACACUCAGACACAGACACACACACACAUACACACACUGCAAUGCUGCAACCACAGAGCGCAAAAAAGAAGUAAUUUAAAGUUAUAUAUACCUGCAUAUAUAUAAAUAUAAAUCAAAUAAAGUACAUAUUACAUAUUUGUGUAUUUCCACAUGCAAGAAAAACCGAGAGAACUGCAAGAGCAACAAACAAUAAACCAAACACACAUAUUAUAAUUAAUUAAUUAACGUAUAUUACAAAUACGUACAUAUACAUACAUAUAACGCAUGGGAAAAAAGUAAAAAAAAAACGCAAGUGAUGAGGACGAACUACGAGCGAACACAAACAACAAAAAUUAAUUUUAAUUUAACAACUACUACAACAACAACAUCGGCAAGAACAACGCUCGGCCCCGAAAGAUGCAACGUGUGCAGCAAAAAUCGUUUAAAAUGCAAAUUAAACGGAAACUGUGCGUCCAACUGGAGUGGAGUGCCAUCGCGGUGGGCGGCCGUUGCAGUGGGUGGGCGUGGCCCUGCUCGCACAGCAAAAAAAGGACUCAACCCCUCCCCCGAGCCAACAACCGCCACACGCCCACGCCCACCGCCCAUCGCCCACGGAUGACAACCAGGCCAAAACGGGCGUAACCACUUUUAAGUAAUGAGAAACCAACAAACAAAAAAGCAAAAACCAAAAAAAAAGAAAUCACAAAAAAAGUACGAGGGGGUUACUAAUAAAACGAUAGAGUUGAAAAACAGGAGGAAGCAAAAAUGUUGCAAUAAUAGCGAAAAUGUUAUUAUUUAAUUGCGUAUUAUUAAAGGCAAAUUAUUAUUACCAUUAUUAUUGCUAUUCUUAACGUAUCUAAGUUGUAACUUUUAAAGUUAAAGCCGAUAAAUAUAUAUAUAUAUAUAUGUAUACUUAUAUAUAUACAAGAAUAUACACUCUUAUACACAUAAAGUAAACUGCAAUAUAUACAAAGGGAAUUACUUGAAUCAAAAAACGCGAAACCAACCACAAGUUAUUGUACUUUCAACGAUAAUCGACUUAAGAUGAGAGAUAACUGAGGUGUAAGAGUUUGAAAAUGUUAAGAAUCGGUUGGGUUUAGUUCUGAUUUCUCGACUGGGUUGGGGGUGAAUCAAAUCAAAAUUGUGCUUACAAUUAUAUUUAUGAAUUUAUUUUAAAGUACAACAAAUCCUUUAUUGGCCAAAGUAAACAACAAAGAAACAAAAGCGAAUGUGAGCAAAAGUCGAAGGCAAUUUGUUAUUAACUAUGUUGAAGUUCUCUUUCUCAUUAUUUCAAUCGAGUCAGGGGAAAGUAGAGGAGAAACAACCUAUAACUUUUGUGUUCACAUUGAAAGCAAAGUGGUAAAUAAUGCUAAUUAAUCAGUGGAUAGUUAGACAAAUAUGUUAAAGCAUUAAAUAUGACAAUGAAAGCGAAGUGAGAGAGUGAAAUUCCGUAGCUCGAGGCAUAAAUCAAUUUAUUUGCUACACCACAAUGGAGUAUCCAAAACAAUGAAAACGCAAAAAGCAACACCCUAAAUAUGUAAGAAACACACAAUUUUUGAGAUACAUGAUGCAAGAUACAAAAUACACGACAAACACACACACCCAAUACACAAUACACGAACAUAACACAGAUCUUACGGAUAAAUCAAAAAGAAACACUUAAACAAAUUACUUGGUAAGAGCAUAUGCAAAUAUAACAAUGAACUAUUAUACAUACAACAUAUAGUACGAUUAAGUAAAUAAAAUAUUUAUAAAACAAACGCGCAAAAUUGCAAAUGUUUGAACACUUAACUAAAUAUAUCUGUAAACAAGCGUGUAAAAAGGAUCACAGAUGCGCCACAAAAAACGCUAGUGGAAAAUUGCAAAUGAAAACCAUGAUGAAAAUGAAAAUGAAAAUGUCAAUGACGAUGAUGAUGAUGGUGAAGGUGAUGAUGAAGAUGAUGAAUGCAGGCCACGCAAUGUGCAAUUAAUUUUUUUCUAGUCGCUCCGUCCGGCCAAAUCGCCCGGACGAUGGAUGUACUAGACAUAUUUGAGGAUUAUGACGAUAACGACGACGAUGCAAUCGGGGGCGUAAUAGAAAAAUAUAUUUAUAUACAACUAUAUGGAGUAUUAAAUUAUUGGAAAAGCAAACCAAACAAAACCUAUCAGCUAGAUAAGUAAACAACAUUUGUUACACACAGCAAGUGGGGGAUAAUUGCAAACAACAAAAAACAACAAAAAAAGCCAGAAAACCAAAAUAGCAGAGAGAAGAAAAUAUUCUAUAAUUGACAGAACAACAAUACGUUGCGCUUUUUGUCUGUCUGAGAUUUUUUGCAUUAGGCGACGUAAAACCCAGAGGAAAAAACAACACACAACUGAAACAAAAGCCAAGAGACAGCAAACAGUGGAAAGCCAGUGAAACAAGAAACAAAAGCAAAUGCCGAAACAGUGAAAAUGUUCCUUUCAUAACUUUUUUGCCAAAUUGUCAAACCAACGCUCUCCAGGACUUUUGUCGAGUCUCGGACCAACAAACUUACACAUUACCUAUAUACGAGUAGUAGAUGGAUUCGCGGUAACCGAAACCGGAAAACAGAAAACAGAAACCAGAAACCAAGAACCGAAUCCGAACAGAAUCCGAACCUAUGCGAUAAUUAGAGAGGGACAAGCAAUAGUUGCAGUGUAUAAUAAAUUACAUUAAACGUUUAAAGUGUUGACUACAACCCCCACGCCGAUCAUUUCAGAUUUUCCAAAGAUCGCGGCUUGCGACUUUGCCAUGUGCAUCACACUUAUAAAUAAUCAAAAACUAAAAAACUAAACAAGAGGUAACAAAUUAAGAGAAAGCUAACGAAGCUAAGGACGAAAAUCUUCAAUUUUAGAUAGACAAAGAUCAGACCAUUCGACGGUCUGGCAUAUCGGGACUUUGGACAGAAGACGAGGACCUACGAGACGAGGAUUACUUUAGCAGGUCACAGGUCAUUGGAGGCGAAUUCCAAAUGCAGCUUCUAUCCUGCGGGGCAGAUAUUUUUAAACGGGGGAGGCUGGCGGAGGGCAGCGAUGGCAAACAUGUUAUAUUUGCAUAAUAUAUAUAUAUAUAUUAAACCUACUUGUAAGGCAUAUAUAAAUAUAUAAAUAAAUAUAUUUUUAAGACAUGUUCUAAAAGCAAUAAUUCAAAACAACAACAAGCGUGGCAGAGACAGGCGUAAAUUGAACAAAUCCCGCAAAGGAAUACAUAAAAUAUACACCAAUAUAUAAAUAUACAUUAAAUAUAUACACCUACACCUAAUUAUAUAUAUACAUGCAUACCAGAUAUAUAUAUAUAAAUUCAAGAAAGCGACUAGCUGAAACACCAGGCCGACCUUCGACUGUCUUAGUCAGAGUCUGAGGAAAUCAUUUCGCUGGCAGCUUAGCCUGUAUUGCUACACCUCUUUAACUAGAGCCCAUGGUCCACGAUCAUUGGGCCGGCAAUCGUUUGUACUCGUAUUAUUUGUGGUGUAGGUAGACGCAGGACAAAGGACGAAGGACCCCGAGAUAGUCUCGGGAUCCCAACUCGAUCCAUUUCGUUGUAAGUCGAUGCAGCUUUAGGUGUAAUGUUGAGUCUUUCCUAGAAGUUUCCCCAGCAUUCCCCGCUAUCGAUCGACUCUAGGCUUUCCGUUUGUGUUUGUGUUUUGUAUGUUAGUGCUGUAUAUUCUAUAAGGAUCUUCUGCGAAAGCUAUAGCCGAUCACAGACAUUUACAUACAUACAUAACUAUUGGUAUACCGGAUCAACUUCUGCUUAAAGAAUACCGGAACAACAAGCAAUGCGUCCUUGUAACAAAAUCAAUUUCAGUCAAUUAGAGAAUUUCCAACACCAGCAGCACAGAGACAUAAAGACAACAACAAGCAACAAGAACAUUUUUUAAAUACCAAAAACAAAAAAAAACAAAAAGCGACAAGUGAAGACAAAAACAUUUUUCAUUAUUUUUUUACUGCUUCGCCGUCAGAGCGAAGAAAAUAUUGGAUGAGGUCGCAGCAGUAGACGGCGCAGGCGCAAAAGCUUUAAAUUGAACAAAAAAUAUUAAUAACACGAACAAGGAAAACAAUUUAUAGGAUUCGACAUGUGAGCUCUCUUUUUUAUAUCGAGAACGGAGAAAUGUGUGUAUAAAAAGUAUGCCGUGACGAUUUUUUAAAAAUAAUGUACCCCAUACUUUAAGCUAUACGCAACUUUCGGUCACAAAGUCAAUUGGUGUUCGAAGCCGGGUAGAAAGCCAAAAGUUGAAAAUGAACACGUGGCACAAAAAGACAUAAAGUGUAAUGUAAAAUAGUUUUAAAUUGGCGAAGCACCAGAAGACGAUGAUGAUGAUGAUGAUUAUGAUGAGGAUUGGGUGUAGGCGGAGUUACGUAGAUACAUAUACGAAUUGCUUUCCGUUUUUCUCUUAUUAUUGACUUACAAACAUAUCAGUUCUUAUUAUGUGUAUGAGUAUAGCAACAACAUCAACAAAUACGAUUACAAUUACGAUAAAGAUUACGAUAAUGAAAUACAAUUUAACUAAUACCUAGCGCUAACGAACGAAUGAACUUUCUGUUUACCAAAACGAAAACCAAAACCAAGAACAACCACACAGAUGAGUAAGGCAUGCCGCCCACUUGGCCUUUUUGAGAAGCGCAGAGAGAGGCGCAAAGGGGCGCCUGGCACGAUUUACGACUUGUGGGCCUUCUACACUUUGACGUGCUUUUAUACGAUAGGAAUCCUUUUACUCACACGAGACAUUUCUAUCCUCGGUUCUUUUUUAUAGACAUGUGUACAUACACCCCACAGCACCCACAUAAAGGACACACACACCCAUACACAACCAUAUAUGUACACCCAACACACUCAGCCACAGACAAAGACACAGACACUGGCACACGCAUAUAUACGAUGGAGAUCACAUACAAAAGAACCUUCAUACGAACGAUCACUUGACUAUUUUUGCUAUAAGUAAGAAAUUCCCCCCAGGAAUGUGUCAGUUGGAAGUGGCAGAACUCCUGCUGACAAAACACCUUUACUAUAUUGACAAUAUCUCUUAUAUAUUUUACACUAUACUAUAUGGAAAAUUAUAUAUUAAUAUAUACAAGAAAAUGAGGAAAACCAAAAACCAAAAACAAAUAAUACAUAAUUGAGGCAAGACAAACGGCGUGCGUGGCGUUAAAAUUGUAUUUACAAGAAAUGCGUAACCAAGCAAGAUGAAAUCAUUUUAAUACUUUAUACACAUAAAAGUCAAAGGAAUCUUUAGAGAAGAAAACAGGCGGCAGAUGAAUAUGCAACUACGAGACAGACAGAAGACGAUGAAGAUACAUUUAUAAAAUGCGCCAUAGCAGGGCGACCAGUUUGUAAGUAUUCUAACUAUGUAAGUAAAGUAAUUAAGGAGCGCAGAACGAGAAUCAAUUAAACAUACAUACUACUGUCUACGAAGCCGCAGAGCCAAAAACUCUGGCCACUUUCAGUGCGAAUACUGUAACACAAAUGAAACCAGACGGAAUGAAUGCCAGAUGCUGGGUGCGAUGGGUUCGCAUGAUUCCAAAUCGGACACAUUGGGUAUGAUGGUGGUGGUAUGGGAUGGGCCUGAUGAUGAAUGUUGGAUGCGAGAUGCUAGAUGCUAGAUGCGAGUUGCGAAAUGGCCAAUGUGUGUACAUAAGCAUAAACAUAAUAUAAACAACUGGUACAGUACUACACUUACAGCAAACUAUACAAGGUAACAACAUAAUAAUUAAACGCCAGAUUCCGCAAAACAAAGCGACGAAGUCAGAGACACAUACACAUAAAUAGAGGCAUAACGAGAAUUUAAUAAACAAUUUUUCAUUUCUACAAAGAAAUCCGGUAACGAAUUUGUAUAUUUACUACGAGAAAAUGCAUAAAAACGAGACAAGAAAUAAGAAAAUCCGAAAUGUAUACAGAAAGAUAUAUGUAUUAAAAGGAGGAAAAAGAACCCCCAAAAGACCGAAGAACAUUUCUGAGGACAGCAAAUAAGCCCGUAUAUAUGAGAAUAAACCCCAAAAUGAUAUAUACAUAUAUAUACAUAGUUAUAUAACCAAGAACAACAAAUAAACAUAUAGUUAAAUUCAAUAAUGUUAAGCAUUCGAUGGGCAAACAGACAGCCAGGCCGGCACGCAUAUUGGUGGUUAAAAAAUUCAAUUAUAUUUAAGGACCCUCGAACCGAAAGAACAGAACUAUGCGGCCACCAACAGCAUCAGCAACAGUAACAGCAACCAAACCAUCAACAACGGCAACAUGGCAACAUGGCAACAUCCUUAACAACAAAAGCAAGUGCAACAUUUAUUAACGGACGACAAAAGGGCAAAUUGUUGCUCUUUUACACACACGAAAUUACAUAAGUUUUUAAGAGACCCACACAUACACACCUCUCCCAUACACAUUCACAUUCACAACCACUCACAUUCACACAGUCAGCCCGCAAUAUGUAUAUGCAACAAAAGUGCGUACAGCUUUAGCAGCAAAUUAAAACUCACUUUGUUCACAAUGUGCCACGUACAGGGAGGAUAGAAGGAUCGAAGUAUAGAAGAGGUUCUUGGGGAAGUGGAUGGCCACUUCGAUCCCCUCGAUGAGGUUAAGAUCGGCAGUGAAAUGGGCAGAAUCAGCAGCAACAACAGAGAUCAGCAACCGCAUAUUAAACCAAAAUGAACAAACAAGAGGAAAACAAACAAAGAAUUCAGAAGAACAAAAAUGAACUAAAACAUGAUUUUAAACAAAAAUUAAAUUAAAUAAUGGCAUAUUAAGUUAAGCUAAUGGUACAUAAGUUUAAAAAACAAACGGCAAGAAACGCUCUAGAGCAACAAAAAAACAAGAUGAACCGAAAACCAAGACAAACAAAUAUAUAUAUAUAUAAAUAUAUAUAUAAAAUAAAAAUUAUAAUGAAAUAACUGAGAAAUAAAUAAAUUAAUUCAUAAUGAUAAAUAAACCAAUAUGAACAUUGUUCAAAAACAUAA